CGUACGAGACGGACACGGCCGGGGAACGCUCCCAGAUCGCCGCCGCGUAGCCUUUCGCCGCCGGGUUCGACGAGGGAGCCGGGGCCAGUACUGGCCGGGGCACGCAAGCCGGCCUAUAGCCUGUAGAGAGACUGGUUCGGGGUUGUGGGCCAGCGGCGCGGCAACAUCGUGGGUGGUGGGGCGGACGCGUAUCUCUACGACGACCCGGAAGACGCCGCCGCCAUCUCGGCGCUCCUCGGCUCCCACUUCGACGGCGCUAAGGUCGACGCUCAAGUGCCUCCUCGCCCUCAUCUCGCAGGGCUUCUACGUCGCCCACCUCUUCCGGCAGGCGGUCAAGAACGUGCCGGCAUAGUCGCUUGAGGACCUCUACCUGCUCCACUACGCCGGCGAAAAUCGUGCCAGAAAUCCAACAGGGCUACUACCCUCCCCGUCCUCGGGCAAACUGGGGUGUGCCCGAUGCACCAGCAACACAGCAGCCUGGAGCUUAUCCUAGCGCACCACCAUAGUAUGGCCAGCAACCUUAUGGCAGAGCAGCCCCCCUGGCACUGGCUAUGACUACUAUAACCAAUAGCAACAACCCCAACAGCAAUAGUCUGCCACUGGAACUGCUGCACUUGCUGAUGCUAGCAACUACAAUUACAACAAGCCUGCUACUCAUGCUUCACAAGGUUAUGGUGAUUAUAUGUACUCUCAACAGAGUGGUGGGCAUCAAGCUUAUGAUUACUCUGGUUAUCAGACCCAAGGACUAUCUUACUUGCAGCUGCCUGGAUAUGAUCAGCAGAACUAUGGGGCAUCUGGGGCAUCAGCUGCUAACUCAACUCAGGAUGGUGGUACUGCACCAAUUAAAUCUAUGGUGGUCUAGGUGGCGCUGGUCAAGCAUCUUCAGGGCAGCAGACUUCAACUCCAGCCACUGGAGGCCAACCGGGUUAUCCUAAUCAACCACCUAUACUUGUGUUGCUGCAUCAAGCUACACGGUGCAAGGGUCUGCCCCUCGAUCUGGGUUUAAAUCGGCGCUUAAACGAAGGCGUAUUUCUCCUUCACGCCUUCGACGUCGACCUCCCUUUCCCCCUGGUGCAGUACUGUUUAAUCGGGCAGACCUGUUCUGGCCCACAAUACCAUUUCGCUUUUCCUAAAAUCUAGGAAAUCAGUAUCUUUCGAAAGAUUCAAGAACGUUUGAGGAGUGACCAGAACCAUUGAAGACUUUGCUGAGCAAGGCAAGCAACCUACUUUGAUCAUCUUGAACCCAUAUUUACAUUACACUUAGAAUUAUUUUUCAUGCAUAAAGUAUUGUUUACUAGUAUUGCUAUGUUAAGUAAAUUAGCUAGGUUUUAGCUAUGCCAUAUGUGCUUGAUAUUGACACCCCUUUGACAUUCUUAUGCUAAGUAAAUUAGCUAGGGUUUAGCUAUGCCCUAUGUGCUUGAUAUUGAUACCCUCCUUUGGCAUACCUAAUAGACCUCCUUUCUAACCAUGUUACCAUGUACUGGUCACAAAUAAAUGUGGGUCAUAUGUGCAACUUUAAUACUAAUGCUUAGCCAUGCUAGUCGCAUAAAUCAUAGGACUUGGGAAGAAUCUUUGUUAUUCAUAAAUGUUUUAUAAAAAUCCAAGGGUGUCACUAGUGCCCAUGGGAUGAUUAUGAAAAUAAGGUUUUACAAAAUGGAGAUGAAGUGGAGAUUUAGUUAGGUGAUUGUGAUCUUGACGAGAUAGCCAAAGAUGUUUGGUGGAUUAUGAAAAUUUAUGUCUAGUAAAUGAGCAUGGUGGUUAUUAUAUUGGUGGAUAAAUGGAUCUUUAAUAAACUUGAAGCAAUUUGGAUUUAGUUAGGCGAUUAUGAUCUUGAACCAAAUUUCAUGGUGGAUUACGAGAUUUUGAUGCAUUUAUUUAGUUCAUUGUGAUCUUAAGGAGAUAGUCAAAGAUGUUUGGCGGAUUAAUUAAUCUUGGACAAUUUGGAUUUAGUUAGGUGAUUGUGAUAUUGAACCGUAUUUCAUGAUGGAUUAUGACAUUUUAGCUAGAUUUAGUUAUGUGAUUUGAUCUUGAGAAGAUAGUAAAAAAGUUUGGUGGAUUAUGAGAGUUUAGGUAUGGUAUAUGAGCAUGGUGAUUAUUAUAUUGGUGGAUAAAUAGAUCUUUAAUUUUGUUUGGAACAUUUUGAAUUUAGUUAGGUGAUUAUGAUCUUAAACCAAAUUUCACGGUUUAGUUAGGUGAUUGUGAUCUUGACGAGGUAGUAAAGGAUGUUCGGUGGAUUAUGUGAAUUUAGGUCUAGUAGGUGAGUAUGGUGGUUAUUAUAUUGGUGAAUAAGUAAAAUUUUAAUAAACUCAAGAAAAUUUGGAUUUAGUUAGGCGAUUGUGAUCUUGAACCAAAUUUCAUGGUGGAUUACGAGAUUUUAGAUGGAUUUAGUCAGUUGAUUGUGAUCUCGAGGAGAUACUCAAAGAUAUUUGAUGGGUUAAUUAAUCUUAAACAAUUUGGAUUUAGUUAAGCUAUUGUGAUAUUGAACCGAAUUUCACGAUGAUUUAUCUAAUUUUAAGUGGAUUUAAUUAAGUUAUUAUGAUCUUGAGAAGAUGGUCAAAGAUGUUCGGUGGAUGUUAAGAUUUUAGGUCUAGUAUGUCAGCAUGGCAACUAUUAAUAUUGGCAGAUAAACAGACCUUUAAUUUAGUUUAAAACAAUUUGAAUUUAGUUUGGUGAUUGUGAUCUUUUAACCAAAUUCAUGGUGGAUUUUGAUGUUUCGGUUGGAUUUAGUUAGGUGAUUGUGAUCUUGACGAGAUAGUCAAAGAUGUUCGAUGGACUAUGUGAGAAUUUAUGUCUAUUAGUGAGCAUGGUGGUUAUUAUAUUGGUGGAUAAAUGGAUUUUUAGUAAACUUGGAGUAAUUUGGUUUUCGUUAGGCGAUUGUGAUCUUGAACCAAAUUUCAUGGUAAUUACGAGAUUUUAAAGGGAUUUAAUUAGUUGAUUGAGAUCUUGAGGAGAUAGUCAAAGAUGUUUGGUGGAUUAAUUAAUAUAAACAACUUGGAUUUAGUUUGGUGAUUAUGAUAUUGAACCAAAUUUCUUAGUGACUUAUUUAAUAUAAACAAUUUGGAUUUAGUUAGGUGACAGUGAUCUUAACGAGAUAGUCAAAGAUGCUUGGUGAAUUAUGUUUAUUUAGGUCUAGUAAGUGAGCAUGGGGGUUUAGCCUUGAUGGGAAGGUGGUGCAUCAUAAGGACACCUUUAGAUAUUUGGGGUCUAUGCUGCAGAAGGAUGGGAAUAUCAAUGAAGAUGUGAAUCAUCGAAUCAAAGUUGGAUGGAUGCAGUGGCGCCAAACUUCUCGCAUUCUCUAUGACCAAAAGAGUGGCACAAAAGGUAAAAGGCAAGUUCUAUAGGAUGGUGGUUUGACCCGUAAUGUCAUAUGGCGCUGAGUGUUGGCCGACUAAAAGGCGACAUGAUCAACAGUUAGGUGUGGUGAAGAUGCGCAUGUUGAGAUGGAUGUGUGGUCACACAAGGAAGGAUCGAGUCCGGAAUGAUGAUAUACGAGAUAGAGUUGGGGUAGCUCCGAUUGAAGAGAAGCUUGUCCAACAUCGUCUGAGAUGGUUUGGACAUAUUUAGAGCAGGCCUCCGGAAGCACCAGUGCAUUGCGGACAACUAAAGCAUGUCGAUAAUGUCAAGAGAGAUCAGGGUAGACCAAACUUGACAUGGGAGGUGUCCGUAAAGAGGGAUUUGAAGGACUGGAGUAUCACCAGAGAACUAGCCAUGGACAUGGGUGCGCAAAAGCUUGCUAUACAUGUGGCAGAACCAUGAGUUGGUGGCGAGAUCUUAUAAGUUUCAUCUCUAGCCUACCCUAACUUGUUCGGGACUAAAGGCUGUGUUGUUGUUAUUUUAAAUGAGCAUGGUGGUUAUUAUAUUAAUGGAUAAAUGGCACUUUAGUAAACAUGGAGAAAUUCGGAUUUAGUUAGGCGAUUGUGAUCUUGAACAAAUCUCACGGUGGAUUACGGGACUUUCAGUGGAUUUAGUUAGUAGAUUGUGAUCUUGGGAGAUGUCAAAGAUGUUUGGUGGAUUAAGUAAUCUUGAAAAUUUUGGAUUUAGUUAGGUGAUUGUCAUAUUGAACCAAAUUUCUUGGUGAUUUAUUUGAUUUUAGUUGGAUUUAGUUAGGUGAUUGUCAUAUUGAACCAAAUUUCUUGGUGAUUUACUUGAUUUUAGUUGGAUUUAGUUAGUUGAUUGUGUCUUGAAAAGAUAGUCAAAGAUGUUCUCCUACUGUGCGCCCUUGACCUUGACGAUAGGUAGCGCCAUGUUCUCGGGCGCGUCCCGUGGGUAAAAUCCAGGUAUGCGCCAAUUGUCCGAGCUCUUGCUCGCCAUUGGUGGUGCUUGAGCGUGCGGUUAUGGUGUCACCCAGGAAGGGAACAUGGGAUGUGGGAUCAAGACAGCACACAUAGCAACCCGCCACCAGGCAACGGAUGCCCAUCCGGACUUACAGGGAGCGGAGGUGGACACAAAGGUGGAUGUUGAUCUCCAUGGCAGUUUCAAUAGUGCGCUCAUCAGUAAGAGCAGCAUGAGCAAGAAGAUCCUAGAUACACUUCUCUUAGGAAAUAAAGAAGCCAUUAAAGGUAGAAGUAACCUCAAUCUCAAGGAAGUAGCGACUUCUUUAGUAAAUAUGGAGCAAUUACGAGAUUUUUCAAUGGAUUUGGUUGAUUGUGAUCUUGAGGAGCAGAUAGUUAAAGAUGUUCGGUGUAUCAAUUAAUCUUGAAUAAUUUGGAUUUAGCUAGGUGAUUGUGAUAAUGAACCAAAUUUCUCUGUGAUUUAUGAAAUUUUAGUUGGAAUUCCUUAGGUGAUUGUGUCUUGAGAAGAUAAUCAAAGAUAUUUCAUGGAUUAUGAGAUUUUAGGUCUAGUAGAUGAGCAUGGUGAUUAUUAUAUUGAUGGAUAAACAAAUAUUUAAUUUACUUUUGAACAAUUUGGAUUUAGUUAGGUGAUUGUGAUAUUUUAACCUAAUUUUACGGUGGAUUAUAAGGAUUUGGUUGGAUUUAGUUAGUUUAUUGUGAUUUUAACAAGCUAGUAAAAGAUGUUCGGUGGAUUAUGUGGAUUUAGGUCUAGUAGGUGAGCAUGUUGAUUAUUAUAUUGGUGGAUAAAUGAAUCUUUAAUAAAUUUGGAACAAUUUGGAUUUAGUUAGGCGAUUGUGAUUUUGAACCAAAUUUUAUGGUGGAUUGAGAUUUUUUAUGGAUUACAUAGUUGAUUGUGAUCUCGAGGGCAUAAUCAAAGAUGUUUGGUGGACUAACUAUUCUUGAACAAUUUGGAUUUAGUUAGGUGGUUGUGAUACUGAACCGAAUCUCACGCUGGGUUAUGAGAUUUUAGGUGGAUUUAGUUAAGUGAUUGUGUCUUGAGAAUAUAGUCAAAGAUAUUUGCUGGACUAUGAUAUUUUAGGUUUUGUAGAUGAGAAUAAUGAUUAUUUUUUAUGGAUAAAAAGAUCAUUAACUUAGUUUGGAACAGUUUCGAUAUAGUUAGGUGAGUGUUAUUUUUCAACAGAUUCAUGGUGGAUUGGAGGCUUUUUUGGAUUUAGUUAGGUGGAUGUGAUCUUGACGAGAUAGUCAAAGAUGUUUGAUGAAUGAUGUUAAUCUAGGUCUAGUAAAUGAGCAUGGUGGUUUAUUAUAUUGGUGGAUAAAUGGAUCUUUAAUGAACAUGAAGCAAUUUGGAUGUAGUUAGGCGAUUGUGAUCUUGAACAAAUUUGACGGUGGAUUAUAAGAUUUUCAAUAGAUUUAGUCAGUAGAUUGUGAUCUUGAGGAGAUAGUCAAAUAUGUUCGGUGGAUUAAUUAAUUUUGAACAAUUUGGAUUUAGUUAGGUGAUUGUGAUAUUGAACCAAAUUUCUCUAUGGUUUAUGAGAUUUUCGUUGGAUUUAGUUAGGUGAUUCUGUCUUGAGAUGAUAAUCAAAGAUGUUUGGUGGAUUAUGAGAUUUAGGUCUAGUAGAUGUGCAUGGUGAUUACUAUAUUGGUGAAUAAACAAGUAUUUCAUUUAGUUUGGUUAUUGUGACCUUUUGACAAAUUUUUACGGUGGAUUAUGAGGUUUUAGUUGGAUUUACUUAGGUGAUUAGGAUCUUGACGAGCUAGUAAAAGAUGUUUGGUUGAUUAUGUGAAUUUAGGUCUAGUAGGUAAGCAUGUUGGUUAUUAUGUUGAUGGAUAAAUAAUUUUUUAAUGAACUUGGAAAAUUUUGAAUUUAGUUUGGCGAUUGUGAUCUUGAACCAAAUUUUAUGGUGGAUUAUGAGAUUUUUGAUGGAUUAGUUAGUUGAUUGUGAUUUUAAGGAGUAGUAGUCAAAGAUGAUCGGUGUAUUAAUUAAUUUUGAACAAUUAGGCUUAGUUAGGUGAUUGUGAUAUUGAACCAAAUUUUUGUGUGAUUUAUGAGAUUUUAGUCGGGUUUAGUUAGGUGAUUGUGUCUUGAGAUGAUAAUCAAAGAUGUUUAGUGGAUUAUGAGAUUUAGGUCUAGUAGAUGAGCAUGAUGAUUACUAUAUUGGUGAAUAAACAGAUAUGUAAUUUAGUUUGGGACAAUUUGGAUUUAGUUAGGUGAUUGGGAUCUUGAUGAGGAAGUCAAAGAUGUUUGGUAUAUUAAUUAAUCUUGAACAAUUUGGAUUUAGUUAGGUGAUUGUGAUAUUGAACCAAAUUCCUAUGUGAUUUAUGAGAUUCUAGUUGGAUUUAGUUAGGUGGUUUUGUCUUGAGAAGAUAAUCAAAGAUGUUUGGUGGAUUAUGAGAUCUUAGGUCUAAUAGAUGAGCAUGGUGAUUAUUAUAUUGAUGGAUAAACAAAUAUUUAAUUUAGUUUGCAAAUUAGAUUUAGUUAGGUAUUGUGAUCUUUUAACCUUAUUUUACGGUGGUUUAUAAGGUUUUUGUUGGAUUUAGUUAGGUGAUUGUGAUUUUGGAGGGCUAGUAUAAAUGUUCAGUGGAUUAUGUGUAUUUAGGUGUAGUAGAUGGGCAUCUUGAUUAUUAUAUUGGUGAAUAAAUGGAUGGUUAGUAAACAUGGAGCAAUUUGGAUUUAGUUAGGUGAUUGUGAUCUUGAGGAGAUAGUCAAAGAUGUUCGAUGCAUUAUUUUUCUUGAACAAUUUGGAUUUAGUUAGGUGGUUGUGACAUUGAACCAAAUUUCUUUGUGAUUCAUGAGAUUUUAGUUGGAUUUGGUUAGCUGAUUAUGUCUUGAGAUGAUAAUCAAAGAUGAUUGGUGGAUUAUAAGAGUUUAGGUCUAGUAGACGAGCAGGGUGAUUACUAUGUUGGUGAAUAAACAGAUAUUUAAUUUAGUUUGGAACAAUUUGGAUUUUGUUAGGUGAUUGUGAUCUUCUGACCAAUUUUAGGUUUAAUAGAUGAGCAUGGUGAUUAUUAUAUUGGUGGAUAAAUGAAUCUUUAAUAAAUUUAGAACAACUUGAAUUUAAUUAUACGACUGUGAUCUUGAGGAGGAGAUAAUUAAAGAUGUUUGGUGUAUCAAUUAAUCUUGAAUAAUUUGGAUUUAUCUAGGUGAUUGUGAUGUUGAACCAAAUUUCUGUGUGAUUUGUGAAAUUUUAGUUGGAAUUAGUUUGGUGAUUGUGUCUUGAGAAGAUAAUCAAAGAUAUUUCAUGGAUUAUGAGAUUUUAGGUCUAGUAGAUGAGCAUGGUGAUUAUUAUAUUAGUGGAUAAACAAAUAUUUAAUUUAGUUUUGAACAAUUUGGAUUUAGUUAGGUGAUUGUGCUCUUUUGACCUAAUUUUACGGUGGAUUAUAAGGAUUUGGGUGGAUUUAGUUAGUUUAUUGUGAUUUUGACAAGCUAGUAAAAGAUGUUCGGUGGAUUAUGUGGAUUUAGGUCUAGUAGGUGAGCAUGUUGAUUAUUAUAUUGAUGGAUAAAUGAAUCUUUAAUAAAUUUGGAACUAUUUGGAUUUUUAGUUAGCCGAUUGUGAUUUUGAACCAAAUUUUAUGGUGGAUUGAGAUUUUUUAUGGAUUAGUUAGUUGAUUGUGAUCUCGAGGGGAUAGUCAAAGAUGUUUGGUAGACUAACUAUUCUUGAACAAUUUGGAUUUAGUUGGGUGGUUGUGAUACUGAACCAAAUUUCACGCUGGUUAUGAGAUUUUAGGUGGAUUUAGUUAAGUGAUUGUCUUGAGAAUAUAGUCAAAGAUAUUUGCUGGACUAUGAGAUUUUAGGUUUUAUAGAUGAGAAUAGUGAUUAUUUUAUUGGGGGAUAAACAAAUCUUUAAUUUAGUUUGGAACAAUUUUGAUAGUUAGGUGAUUGUUAUUUUUCAACGGAUUUAUGGUGGAUUUGAGGCUUUUUUGGAUUUAGUUAGGUGGAUGUGAUCUUGACGAGAUAGUCAAAGAUGUUUGAUGAAUGAUGUUAAUAUAGGUCUAGUAAAUGAGCAUGGUGGUUUAUUAUAUUGGUGAAUAAAUGGAUCUUUAAUGAACAUGAAGCAAUUUGGAUGUAGUUAGGCAAUUGUGAUCUUCAACAAAUUUCACGAUGGAUUAUAAGAUUUUCAAUAGAUUCAGUCAGUAGAUUGUGAUCUUGAGGAGAUAGUCAAAUAUGUUCGAUGGAUUAAUUAAUUUUGAGCAAUUUGGAUUUAGUUAGGUGAUUGUGAUAUUGAACCAAAAUUCUCUAUGGUUUAUGAGAUUUUCGUUGGAUUUAGUUAGGUGAUUCUGUGUAGAGAUGAUAAUCAAAGAUGAUUGGAGGAUUAUGAGAUUUAGGUCUAGUAGAUGUUUAUGGUGAUUACUAUAUUGGUGAAUAAACAAAUAUUUAAUUUAAUUUGGUGAUUGUGACCUUUUGACAAAUUUUUACGGUGGAUUAUGAGGUUUUAGUUGGAUUUUCUUAGGUGAUUGGGAUCUUGACGAGCUAGUAAAAGAUGUUUGGUUGAUUAUGUGAAUUUAGGUCUAGUAGGUACAUGUUGGUUAUUAUGUUGAUGGAUAAAUACUUUUUUAAUGAACUUGGAAAAUUUUGAAUUUAGUUCGGCGAUUGUGAUCAUCAAACCAAAUUUUAUGGUGGAUUAUGAGAUUUUUGAUGGAUUAGUUAGUUGAUUGUGAUUUUAAGGAGUAGUAGUCAAAGAUGUUCGGUGUAUUAAUUAAUCUUGAACAAUUAGGCUUUAGUUAGGUGAUUGUUAUUGAUCCAAAUUUUUGUGUGAUUUAUGAGAUUUUAGUCGGGUUUAGUUAGGUGAUUGUGUCUUGAGAUGAUAAUCAAAGAUGUUUAGUGGAUUAUGAGAUUUCGGUCUAGCAGAUAAGCAUGAUGAUUACUAUAUUGGUGAAUAAACAGAUAUGUAAUUUAGUAUGGGACAAUUUGGAUUUAGUUAGGUGAUUGGGAUCUUGAUGAGGAAAUCAAAGAUGUUUGGUAUAUAAAUUAAUCUUGAACAAUUUGGAUUCAGUUAGGUGAUUGUGAUAUUGAACCAAAUUCCUAUGUGAUUUAUGAGAUUCUAGUUGGAUUUAGUUAGGUGGUUGUGUCUUGAGAAGAUAGUCAAAGAUGUUUGGUGGAUUAUGAGAUCUUAGGUCUAAUAGAUGAGCAUGGUGAUUAUUAUAUUGAUGGAUAAAGAAAUAUUUAAUUUAGUUUGCAAAUUAGAUUUAGUUAGGUAUUGUGAUCUUUUAACCUUAUUUCACAGUGGUUUAUAAGGUUUUCGUUGGAUUUAGUUAGGUGAUUGUGAUUUUGGAGGGCUAGUAUAAGAUGUUCGGUGGAUUAUGUGUAUUUAGAUGUAGUAGAUGAGCAUCUUGAUUAUUAUAUUGGGUCAUAAAUGGAUGUUUAGUAAACAUGGAGCAAUUUGGAUUUAGUUAGGUGAUUGUGAUCUUGAGGAGAUAGUCAAAGAUGCUCGGUGGAUUAAUUUUUCUUGAACAAUUUGGAUUUAGUUAGGUGGUUGUGACAUUGAACCAAAUUUCUCUGUGAUUUAUGAGAUUUUAGUUGGAUUUGGUUAGCUGAUUAUGUCUUGAGAUGAUAAUCAAAGAUGAUUGGUGGAUUAUAAGAUUUUAGGUCUAGUAGACGAGCAGGGUGAUUACUAUGUUGGUGAAUAAACAAAUAUUUAAUUUAGUUUGGAACAAUUUGGAUUUUGUUAGGUGAUUGUGAUCUUCUGACCAAUUUUAGGUUUAUUAGAUGAGAAUGGUGAUUAUUAUAUUGGUUGAUAAAUGAAUCUUUAAUAAAUUUAGAACAAUUUGAAUUUAGUUAUACGACUGUGAUCUUGAGGAGGAGAUAGUUAAAGAUGUUUGGUGUAUCAAUUAAUCUUGAAUAAUUUGGAUUUAGCUUGGUAAUUGUCAUGUUGAACCAAAUUUUUGUGUGAUUUAUGAAAUUUUAGUUGGAAUUAGUUAGGUGAUUGUUUCUUGAGAAGAUAAUCAAAGAUAUUUCAUGGAUUAUGAGAUUUUAGGUCUAGUAGAUGAGCAUGGUGAUUAUUAUAUUAGUGGAUAAACAAAUAUUUAAUUUAGUUUUGAACAAUUUGGAUUUAGUUAGGUGAUUGUGAUCUUUUGACCUAAUUUUACUGUGGAUUAUAAGGAUUUGGGUGGAUUUAGUUAGUUUAUUGUGAUUUUGACAAGCUAGUAAAAGAUGUUCAGUGGAUUAUGUGGAUUUAGGUCUAGUAGGUGAGCAUGUUGAUUAUUAUAUUGAUGGAUAAAUGAAUCUUUGAUAAAUUUGGAAUAAUUUGGAUUUAGUUAGGCGAAUGUGAUUUUGAACCAAAUUUUAUGGUGGAUUGAGAUUUUUUAUGGAUUAGAUAGUUGAUUGUGAUCUCGAGGGGACAGUCAAAGAUGUUUUGUGGACUAACUAUUCUUGAACAAUUUGGAUUUAGUUAGGUGGUUGUGAUACUGAACCGAAUCUCACACUAGGUUAUGAGAUUUUAGGUGGAUUUAGUUAAGUGAUUGUGUCUUGAGAAUAUAGUCAAAGAUAUUUGCUGGACUAUGAGAUUUUAGAUUUUGUAGAUGAGAAUAAUGAUUAUUUUUUUGAUGGAUAAAAAGAUCAUUAAUUUAGUUUGGAACAGUUUCGAUAUAGUUAGGUGAGUGUUAUUUUUCAAUAGAUUCAUGGUGGAUUGGAGGCUUUUUUGGAUUUAGUUAGGUGGAUGUGAUCUUGACGAGAUAGUCAAAGAUGUUUGAUGAAUGAUGUUAAUCUAGGUCUAGUAAAUGAGCAUGGUGGUUUAUUAUAUUGGUGGAUAAAUGGAUCUUUAAUGAACAUGAUGCAAUUUGGAUGUAGUUAGGCGAUUGUGAUCUUGAACAAAUUUCACGGUGGAUUAUAAGAUUUUCAAUUGAUUUAGUCAGUAGAUUGUGAUCUUGAGGAGAUAGUCAAAUAUGUUCGGUGGAUUAAUUAAUUUUGAGCAAUUUGGAUAUAGUUAGGUGAUUGUGAUAUCGAACCAAAUUUCUCUAUGGUUUAUGAGAUUUUCGUUGGAUUUAGUUAGGUGAUUUUGUCUAGAGAUGAUAAUCAAAGAUGUUGUUGACACCUGAUUUUGGCAAGAUACAGAGUGAAAGGGUUUUCAGCAUGAGAAAGUUUCAUAUCGUCGAGUGGAACAACUUUGAUGUUUAGUCUAUCGCCAUUCGACCUCAUCUCA